rnacentral:rRNA from 1 species
CCUACGGGAGGCAGCAGCAGGGAAUAUUGCACAAUGGGCGAAAGCCUGAUGCAGCGACGCCGCGUGAGGGAUGAAGGCCUUCGGGUUGUAAACCUCUUUCAGGAGGGAAGAAGCGAAAGUGACGGUACCUCCACAAGAAGCCCCGGCCAACUACGUGCCAGCAGCCGCGGUAAUACGUAGGGGGCAAGCGUUGUCCGGAUUCAUUGGGCGUAAAGAGCUCGUAGGCGGCUCAGCAAGUCGGUCGUGAAAGCCCGGGGCUCAACCCCGGGACGCCGAUCGAAACUGCUGUGGCUAGGGUCCGGUAGAGGAGAGUGGAAUUCCCGGUGUAGCGGUGAAAUGCGCAGAUAUCGGGAGGAACACCAGUAGCGAAGGCGGCUCUCUGGGCCGGCACCGACGCUGAGGAGCGAAAGCUAGGGGAGCAAACAGGAUUAGAUACCCUGGUAGUCCUAGCCGUAAACGUUGGGCACUAGGUGUGGCGGACUCAUUGACGUCUGCCGUGCCGCAGCUAACGCAUUAAGUGCCCCGCCUGGGGAGUACGACCGCAAGGUUGAAACUCAAAUGAAUUGACGGAAUCGUCGACNUGGCAGGCCNUGCAANNNCANUUCNNC